rnacentral:rRNA from 1 species
AGGAAUAUUGGUCAAUGGACGCGAGUCUGAACCAGCCAAGUAGCGUGAAGGAUGACUGCCCUAUGGGUUGUAAACUUCUUUUAUAUGGGAAUAAAGUUUUCCACGUGUGGAAUUUUGUAUGUACCAUAUGAAUAAGGAUCGGCUAACUCCGUGCCAGCAGCCGCGGUAAUACGGAGGAUCCGAGCGUUAUCCGGAUUUAUUGGGUUUAAAGGGAGCGUAGGUGGAUUGUUAAGUCAGUUGUGAAAGUUUGCGGCUCAACCGUAAAAUUGCAGUUGAAACUGGCAGUCUUGAGUACAGCAGAGGUGGGCGGAAUUCGUGGUGUAGCGGUGAAAUGCUUAGAUAUCACGCAGAACUCCGAUUGCGAAGGCAGCAUACCGGCGCCCUACUGACGCUGAGGCACGAAAGCGUGGGUAUCGAACAG